rnacentral:rRNA from 1 species
CCUACGGGAGGCAGCAGUGGGGAAUAUUGCACAAUGGGGGAAACCCUGAUGCAGCAACGCCGCGUGAAGGAAGACGGUUUUCGGAUUGUAAACUUCUGUUCUUAGUGAAGAAUAAUGACGGUAGCUAAGGAGCCAGCCACGGCUAACUUCGUGCCAGCAGCCGCGGUCCUACGUAGGUGGCAAGCGUUGUCCGGAAUUACUGGGUGGAAAGGGAGCGCAGGCGGGAAGCCAAGUCAGCUGUGAAAGCUACGGGCUUAACUUGUAGACUGCAGUUGAAACUGGUUUUCUUGAGUGAAGUAGAGGUGGGCGGAAUUCCGGGUGUAGCGGUGAAAUGCGUAGAUAUUCGGAGGAACACCGGUGGCGAAGGCGGCCAACUGGGCUUUAACUGACGCUGAGGCUCGAAAGUGUGGGGAGCAAACAGGAUUAGAUACCCCUGUAGUC